AGCAGCCGCAGUAAUUUCAGCUCCAAUAGUGUAUAUUAAAGUUGUUGCAGUUAAAAAGCUCGUAGUUGAAUUUUGGGAUCAGUUGGUCGGUCGUGUCUUGGUACGUACUGGUCAAAUUGAUUCCUACCUUCUGACGAAUCACAAUGUCAUUAAUUUGGUGUCGCAGGAAAUCAGGACUGUUACUUUGAAAAAUUGAGUGUUUAAAGCAGGCUCGUGCUUGAAUACAUUAGCAUAGAAUAAUGAAAUAGACGUUUGAUUCUAUUUUGUAGUUUCUAGGAUCGAUAUAAUGAUUAAUAGGAAUAGUUGGAGGUAUUAGUAUUCAAUUGUCAGAAGUGAAAUUCUUGGAUUUAUGAAGCUAAC
rnacentral:misc_RNA from 1 species